GGAUAAAGCGGAAGCUUCGAUCCGUGACCUAUUAUUUGGUCACCUUAUGGUCACGGGGAGCUAGUGGUGAAACCGGUCGCAUUUUUU
rnacentral:ncRNA from 2 species